AUCCCUGUAGCGCAAUGGAUUUCUCGUUGGACUUCUAAUCCUAAGUUCGUGGUUUCGAAUUUCACCUGGGAUG